rnacentral:pre_miRNA from 1 species
UGUUAAAAAAACCAUCAAUUUCUACUUUUAACUGAUGACAUGGAUGACAGAGCAACUAACAACAACACAUGAUAUGUCAUGUGUACCUCAUGCUUGUAUGUGUGUGUGGUUGCUCCACCAUCCACUAUCACUUAACAAUAGAAAUGGAUGGAAUCUUUAACA